GGAGUACGACCGCAAGGUUGAAACUCAAAGGAAUUGACGGGGGCCCGCACAAGCGGAGGAACAUGUGGUUUAAUUCGAUGAUACGCGAGGAACCUUACCCGGGCUUGAAUUGCAGACUAAUGCGGCGGAGACGCCGCAGUCCUUCGGGAAGUCUGUGAAGGUGCUGCAUGGUUGUCGUCAGCUCGUGCCGUGAGGUGUCGGCUCAAGUGCCAUAACGAGCGCAACCCCUGUCUCCUGUUGCCAUCAGGUAAAGCUGGGCACACUGGAGAGACUGCCGCCGUAAGGUGCGAGGAAGGUGGGGAUGACGUCAAAUCAGCACGGCCCUUACGUCCGGGGCUACACACGUGUUACAAUGGUCGUUAACAGAGGGAAGCAAGGCCGCGAGGUGGAGCGAACCCCUAAAAACGAUCUCAGUUCAGAUUGCAGGCUGAAACUCGCCUGCAUGAAGAUGGAAUUGCUAGUAAUCGCGGAUCAGCAUGCCGCGGUGAAUACGUUCCCGGGCCUUGUACACACCGCCCGUCACACCAUGAGAGCCGGGGACACCCGAAGUCGGUUGGGUAACCGUAAGGAGCCCGCCGCCGAAGGUGGAAUCGGUAAUUGGGGUGAAGUCGUAACAAGGUAACCAAGCC
rnacentral:rRNA from 1 species